UAUUGCACAAUGGGGGAAACCCUGAUGCAGCGACGCCGCGCGAGUGAGGCGGUAUUUCGGUAUGUAAAGCUCUAUCAGCAGGGAAGAAAAUGACGGUACCUGACUAAGAAGCCCCGGCUAACUACGUGACAGCAGCCGCGGUAAUACGUAGGGGGCAAGCGUUAUCCGGAUUUACUGGGUGUAAAGGGAGCGUAGACGGAAAUGCAAGUCUGAUGUGAAAAUCCGGGGCCCCACCCCGGAACUGCAUUGGAAACUGUAUUUCUAGGGUGUCGGAGAGGCAAGUGGAAUUCCUGGUGUAGCGGUGAAAUGCGUAGAUAUCAGGAGGAACACCAGUGGCGAAGGCGGCUUGCUGGACGAUGACUGACGUUGAGGCUCGAAAGCGUGGGGAGCAA
rnacentral:rRNA from 1 species